CGGGGUGUAGCGCAGUCCGGUAGCGCGCCUGUUUUGGGAACAGGUGGUCGCAGGUUCGAAUCCUGUCGCCCCGACAA
rnacentral:tRNA from 5 species